GACGAACGCUGGCGGCGUGCUUAACACAUGCAAGUCGAACGGAAAGGCCCUUCUUUUGUGGGAUGCUCGAGUGGCGAACGGGUGAGUAACACGUGAGUAACCUGCCCUUGCCUUUGGGAUAACUUCAGGCAACUGGGGCUAAUACCGGAUAGGAGCUCCUGCUGCAUGGUGGGGGUUGGAAAGUUUCGGCGGUUGGGGAUGGACUCGCGGCUUAUCAGCUUGUUGGUGGGGUAGUGGCUUACCAAGGCUUUGACGGGUAGCCGGCCUGAGAGGGUGACCGGCCACAUUGGGACGGAGAUACGGCCCAGACUCCUACGGGAGGCAGCAGUGGGGAAUAUUGCACAAUGGGCGGAAGCCUGAUGCAGCAACGCCGCGUGCGGGAUGACGGCCUUCGGGUUGUAAACCGCUUUCGCCUGUGACGAAGCGUGAGUGACGGUAAUGGGUAAAGAAGCACCGGCUAGCUACGUG
rnacentral:rRNA from 1 species